rnacentral:rRNA from 1 species
GACCGUGCUAAGGUAGCAUAAUCAUUUGUCUUAUAAUAGAAGACUGGAAUGAAAGAAUUGAUAAUAUUAGAGCUUUUAUAAUUAUUUAUGAAAAUUAAUAUUUGCUUUAAAAAGAGCAACUUUUUAAAAAGACGAGAAGACCCUAUAAAACUUUAUUAAAAUUGUGAACAAAUUAAAUUUUGUAAUUAUUUUUACAAGUUAAUUAAGCUGGGGCGGCAUUUAAUUUCACUCAUAAAAAAAAUUAACAUUGAAAAUGAGAAGGUUAGAUCUUAAGAAAAAAUUGAGUAAGUUACUUUAGGGAUAACAGCACAAUUUUUUCAUAUAGUUCUUAUAGAAGGAAAAGACUUGUGACCUCGAUGUUGAAUUGAGAGGCCUAAUUUAAGCWAAAAUAAAUUAAGGGGGUCUGUUCGACCUUUAAUUUCUCA